UACAGAGGGGGCAAGCGUUAUUCGGAAUUAUUGGGCGUAAAGGGCGCGUAGGCGGCCUGACAAGUGGAUGGUGAAAUCCCUCGGCUUAACCGAGGAACUGCCAUCCAGACUGUUUGGCUUGAGACCGGGAGAGGUGAGUGGAAUUCCCAGUGUAGCGGUGAAAUGCGUAGAUAUUGGGAGGAACACCAGUGGCGAAGGCGGCCAC
rnacentral:rRNA from 1 species